rnacentral:rRNA from 1 species
GGCGGCAUGCCUUACACAUGCAAGUCGAACGGUAACAGGUCUUCGGAUGCUGACGAGUGGCGAACGGGUGAGUAAUACAUCGGAACGUGCCCAGUAAUGGGGGAUAGCUCGGCGAAAGCCGGAUUAAUACCGCAUACGCCCUGAGGGGGAAAGUGGGGGAUCGCAAGACCUCACGUUAUUGGAGCGGCCGAUGGCUGAUUAGCUAGUUGGUAGGGUAAAGGCCUACCAAGGCGACGAUCAGUAGCUGGUCUGAGAGGACGAUCAGCCACACUGGGACUGAGACACGGCCCAGACUCCUACGGGAGGCAGCAGUGGGGAAUUUUGGACAAUGGGGGAAACCCUGAUCCAGCAAUGCCGCGUGUGCGAAGAAGGCCUUCGGGUUGUAAAGCACUUUUGUCAGGGAAGAAAUCCUUUGGGCUAAUACCCUAGGGGGAUGACGGUACCUGAAGAAUAAGCACCGGCUAACUACGUGCCAGCAGCCGCGGUAAUACGUAGGGUGCAAGCGUUAAUCGGAAUUACUGGGCGUAAAGCGUGCGCAGGCGGUUGUGUAAGACAGGUGUGAAAUCCCCGGGCUUAACCUGGGAAUCGCAUUUGUGACUGCACGACUAGAGUGUGUCAGAGGGGGGUGGAAUUCCACGUGUAGCAGUGAAAUGCGUAGAUAUGUGGAGGAACACCAAUGGCGAAGGCAGCCCCCUGGGAUAACACUGACGCUCAUGCACGAAAGCGUGGGGAGCAAACAGGAUUAGAUACCCUGGUAGUCCACGCCCUAAACGAUGUCAACUAGUUGUUGGGGAUUUACUUCCUUGGUAACGUAGCUAACGCGUGAAGUUGACCGCCUGGGGAGUACGGCCGCAAGGUUAAAACUCAAAGGAAUUGGCGGGGACCCGCACAAGCGGUGGAUGAUGUGGAUUAAUUCGAUGCAACGCGAAAAACCUUACCUACCCUUGACAUGGCAGGAACUUUCCAGAGAUGGAUUGGUGCCCGAAAGGGAACCUGCACACAGGUGCUGCAUGGCUGUCGUCAGCUCGUGUCGUGAGAUGUUGGGUUAAGUCCCGCAACGAGCGCAACCCUUGUCAUUAGUUGCUACGAAAGGGCACUCUAAUGAGGCUGCCGGUGACAAACCGGAGGAAGGUGGGGAUGACGUCAAGUCCUCAUGGCCCUUAUGGGUAGGGCUUCACACGUCAUACAAUGGUCGGUACAGAGGGUUGCCAAGCCGCGAGGUGGAGCCAAUCCCAGAAAACCGAUCGUAGUCCGGAUCGCAGUCUGCAACUCGACUGCGUGAAGUCGGAAUCGCUAGUAAUCGCGGAUCAGAAUGCCGCGGUGAAUACGUUCCCGGGUCUUGUACACACCGCCCGUCACACCAUGGGAGUGGGUUCUACCAGAAGUGGCUAGUCUAACCGCAAGGAGGACGGUCACCACGGUAGGAUUCAUGACUGGGGUGAAGUCAUAA